GGGGGUUUAGCUCAGCGGUAGAGCGCUCGCUUUGCAUGCGAGAAGUCCAGGGUUCGAACCCCUCAUCCUCCA
rnacentral:tRNA from 1 species